UGCCCUAAAUGAAUUGUGACGGA
rnacentral:siRNA from 1 species